rnacentral:rRNA from 1 species
UGGGGAAUUUUGGACAAUGGGGGCAGCCCUGAUCCAGCGACGCCGCGUGAUCGAUGAAGGCCUUCGGGUCGUAAAGAUCUUUCAGCGGGAAAUAUGAUGAAGGUACCCGCAGAAGCAGGAGCGGCUAACUACGUGCCAGCAGCCGCGGUAAUACGUAGGCUCCAAGCGUUGUUCGGAAUUACUGGGCGUAAAGCGAGUGUAGGCGGUUUGCCAAGUCGAUUGUGAAAUCUCCCGGCUCAACUGGGAGGGUGCGGUCGAUACUGGCAAGCUAGAGUACGGAAGAGGAAGGUAGAAUUCCUGGUGUAGCGGUGGAAUGCGUAGAUAUCAGGAGGAAUGCCAGAGGUGAAGACGGCCUUCUGGACCGUAACUGACGCUGAGACUCGAAAGCGUGGGGAGCAAACAGGAUUAGAUACCCCCGUAGUCC